rnacentral:rRNA from 1 species
AUGGUGAUAACAGACACCCCUGUUUUAUGUUGUGGCUUAAACUCGAGCUUGAGGAUACAGCUCGAGGAGUUCAGGCACAUCUCCCUUGUAUUUCAGAAUGUACCUCUCCACGAAAAUGGCCUCCGGCAGUCUCACUACGCUCACCAUCUUCGUCUUCCCGAUGUCCACGCCCUUGGACCGCAGGGCCUCGAUGGCGCGGCACCGCGGCGCCAUCCGCUCGUCGAGGCUCAGCGUCAGCAGCAGGGGGUUCCUGACGAUGCACCCGGCGCUGCACCCCACGGUGGCCUGCAGGAACUCCACCUUGCGCCGCAGCAGCGCCUCGGGGGCGAACACGAAGCACGGCGCGCGCCGGAACAUGCCGGCGAACUCCUCGUCCGUGCACCCGAGGGCGCGCGUCACGGCCGCCUUCUUGGCCCGGAAGGCGCGAUCGCCGACGUUGUGCAGCGCGAAGAGGCACCACGAGUACAUCCCGGGGCUGGGCGGCACCCCGCCGCACGCCUCCUCCACGCGGCCGACCAGCGCCCGGAGCUUGUCCGGCGACUGCAUGAUGAGCGUCGGCCGCAGCCGGACGGCGGCCGUGAGGCGGCCGUCCGGGAUGCCGAGGCGGCGGAGCGCGGCGAGGUUCCGCAGGAGCAGGUCGACGGAGUACUUGAGCAGCCACGUCUUGGCCAGCCAUUUCAUCAGCAAGGUGGUGGACCCGAGGAGGUCGAGCCAGAAGAGCACCCGCGGGAGCAGGUUGGAGCGGACGCCGUAGGUGAGCGCCGCCGGGAAGAGCGCGAAGAGCCGCGCGGCGUCGGCGCGGCGGAGGCCGAGCGCGCGCACGGCGGUGAAUUUGGGGGAGAGGGUGGCGUCCACGUCGCUGAGGAGCAGCGCCGGCUUCCGGGCCACGAUCGCGCGCACCUGCGCCUUGCCCAGCCCCUGCGAGCAGAGGAAGGCAAGCACGGCGUCGGGCCGCUCCGGGGAGCCCAGGUGCGCGAACCGAGGGGCGGCCUUGGCGGCCGCCGCCGGCGAGAGGCCGCAGGUGGAGACGAGGUACUCGGCCAUGAAGUGCGGCGGCUCCUUUUCCCCGAUGGAGAAGAGGCGGAGGUGGCCGGGGGUGGGGAGUGGGAGGAGCCGCGGCGGGAACGGAACCGGCGCGAGGCGGCGGGCGAGGCGCCGCAGCGCCAUGGGUGCGGCGGAGGACGGGCGGACACACGGGUCAGUAGUACUAGCCAGGCAGGGGCCUACCCGAAGAUCUGA